rnacentral:misc_RNA from 1 species
CGAGACGUGAAAUCUCGCACCAAUCUGAUCUCCACCUCACAGUCUCUCUCUCUCUCUUUCGCUUUUCCACUGCAAGUCCCUCACCGUCAAUCCAAUGUCCCAACUCACAGAUUCUCCCGAUAUUCUCUCCUCCGUCGCCAUUGGCUAAUCGUUUUUUUUUUCUCUUAAAUUUUCAACUCCUCAAGUCUCCGCCUCUCUGCAGACUUCAACCCCCACCACUGCUUCCUCUUCUUCAACCUUCAACGUCGCCAUUUAGGGUUUUCCCAUGGCAAUUUCGUAAUUUCAUUCUCAAUGGCGGCCACUUCUAGCGGUUUAUCCGCUCACUUCCAUUUCAAGCUCACUCGCCUCCACAUUUCUCCGUUGCAUACUACUGUCUAUGGAUUGCAGCUCAGAAAGAAGAAGAAGAGGAGGACCGUCGGCGUCAGUCCAAUCACUUGCUGCAGCUCCGACUCUGUUGUUCCAAUUAGGAGCAUCGAGAAAAAUGAAGACAAGUCCUCUCAUAGAGUCCGUGUCCAGGCCACUCCAGCAUUGCCUUUUGCUUCUCCUCAGUACGUCGCCGUUUUGACACUCCUCCUUGUUGAUUGUUGAUCUUCCAUUGAAGCUGCCAUAUCUAUUUUAAUUUUGAAAUAAAUAAAUAAAAUUGCCUCCUUUUAAACUUUCAAAGGUAAAACUGGGAGUGAAAAGUGAUGAUAAAUGGGGAUUUUUCGAAAGUUCAAUUUUGUAUGGAAAGUUUCUUCUAAAUUUUACAUAAUUGGUGGUUUUGUGCUCAUAAUUUUUUAGCUAAAUUCAUCACAUUAGCUAUUGAUAUUGUUAGCUUACAUCUGUUUCAUUCUUCCAGGGUGUGUAAAAUAUGAGUAUCAGUUCUUAGCUGAGUAUUUGAAUGGCAUUCAUUGAGAUAGAAUUUCUCUUAUCAUGAUGAAAGAGUCCACAGUUGAUCUCUGAUUAACCAAGUAAAAAAAAUAUGCUCAGUUUGGCGUAUAUAAAAGUAUUAGCAUUAUUAUGUUAAAUCAAAGGAUUUGAGUUUCAAAUACACAUUCAGCAAAUAACUAAGAUGAUUCUGGAGGUAUGAGAGUAUAUAUAUUGAUUAUGUACUGGUAGAUUUAUGUGUUUAUUCCUUUAGGCUGUGAUGGAGAUGCUCCCAAGUGUUCUGUUAAUGAAUAAACUUUUAACAUAUGUCAACUUUCCUUCAUCUAGUGGGACUGGGCAAGUUUCUUUCAAUUUAACUGCUUCUCUCUAUCACCCAAGCAGCAUAAACUCUCAAAGUUUGUGUUUUUACUUGUAAUUAUUGUAGGUCUCGAUUUGUUUCAAAACAAGAAAAGUUUUCUCCUCGUUGUACCCCAAGAAGUUCUGGUCCACAGUCCAGAGACACCCCACCAAAAAGAGACACUGGUAUUGCUAAUGAAAAGGACUGGGGCAUCAGCUUGUUGAAUGAAAAUGUUAAUGAAUCUGGCACUAAUGAAGAUGGUGGUACUUGGUACCGGGAAAGUGGAGAAGACAUGGGUGAAAAUGGGUACAGAUGUAGAUGGACAAGAAUGGGCGGACGAUCACAUGAUGAUACCUCAGAAUGGAAAGAAACGUGGUGGGAGAAAAGUGACUGGACUGGAUACAAAGAGCUAGGUGUGGAGAAAUCUGGAAGGAAUGCUGAGGGGGAUUCAUGGUGGGAGACCUGGCAAGAGGUGCUCCAUCAAGAUGAAUGGAGUAAUCUAGCAAGGAUAGAGAGGAGUGCACAGAAACAAGCGAAAUCAGGGACUGAAAAUGCUGGAUGGUAUGAGAAAUGGUGGGAGAAAUAUGAUGCUAAAGGCUGGACUGAGAAGGGGGCACAUAAGUAUGGAAGACUAAAUGAGCAGUCAUGGUGGGAGAAGUGGGGAGAGCAUUACGAUGGAAGAGGAUCUGUUCUCAAAUGGUUUUCUCUUUUUAUCAUCAUAUCUUUUGUUGGAGUUAAAUAUGCUUGGAGCUAGUUUUUGAUGUUCUCAUCUUUGACAUGCUCUAAUACAAUUGACUAUAGAAAGUAAUCAUAAUCUGCACAUAUCUUCAGAACUCAAGAUCUCAUGUUGUAUGGUAUCUGGCUCAUUGUUAGUAACACUGAGCAAUAAGCUAUCAUAAAUACGGAAGGCAUCAAUAAUUUAGAAGCUGAACUACGAUUCUGUUCAUAUAGGAACAGAGCUUCUAAUGAAUAGAUAACCUGUGUUAUAUCCACAACAAUGAUUUAUUAAAGUAUUACUUUUUUAUAUGUUAGUCUGCUUGGGCAAUAAUUUUAGAAUUACAGCAAGUUCUUUUCAUUUUUCUCCAAGUAGUCAGAACAUACCAACUGGAAGAACUUUCAAGUAAUUUCACUGAGUUUUCUGUUUUCAUUCCUCAGGACAGAUAAAUGGGCUGAGACUGACUUGGGAACCAAAUGGGGUGAUAAGUGGGAAGAGAAGUUCUUUGCUGGCAUAGGUUCGCGCCAGGGUGAGACGUGGCAUGUUUCUUCAAUUGGCAACCGUAAGUUUAAUAUGUAUUUAUUCAGCCGAGAUACCUUGUCUUUAUAAAUUUUAAAUGCUGUAUGCCAUUGAACGUUUCCCUUGAUUUUAUCCACAUCAUCAAUUCUUUGUUAAAUUUGGGCUACCAUUUUCAUUUGUAAGAUUUGUUUUAGUUAGCUCUUCUUUGCAUAUCUUUGUACAUGCUUUCUAGGUAAAUUUUUCUAAUGGUCAUUGUUAUUUGUUUUGAUUUGUGUUGUUUUAUUUUGUUUCAAAGAAAGCACUAUAGCAAAUUUCUAGUGAUAAACCUACUGGAGUUUUGAUAACAUUCAAGUUAGGGCUCUUUUGUAAAGUACAAAAUUAAGUGCUUUUUUUUCCUCACCAUCAAUUUGGUUUUUUAUGUUAUGAUAUGCUUGCUUGUUUCUAUGUCAUGUUAGAUUUGGGGCUGAUUAUGUUGUUUUUGGUCUACACAUCAUUUUGGUUUUGACUGCAUUCAGCCAUUUUAGUAAGAAAAGAAAAAUAAUCAUAAAGUUAGACAAGAUGUGUUUAUCCAUUUGGUAAGAAAUUAAUUUGCAAAGUUAUUCAUCGACUAUUACAAUUAACUUUCCUGGUUCUUGUACUCUGCUAGAAUUUUCAUGGUAGUUGUGAAUGUUAUUGAUGGGAUACUGAACUUGCAUAGUUAAUUAUCAACAAUAUCCCCAUAAUUUCACCUUUAGAAGUUGUUUUCUGACUUAUAACUUUUUUAAUGUGACUGUCAUGGACAUGAUGUAGUCUAGCAUUUAACUCAUUUAUUAUUUGUAGAACGGAGACUUAAUGCCAAGAUUCUCAUUUUCUGAGGAGACAAUUGAACUUAAUCCAUGAAUUGUUCUUGACCCAAAAAAUGAAUUUCUUUUCUUGUUCUUCCGUUCUUUAAGCUGCUCACGUUUGGCUUUACUUGUGUCCCUUGUGAAUUUUAUGUGCCAAACUCUCAUGAUUACAUUGUUUUUAGGUUGGUCAAGGACAUGGGGAGAGGAACAUUUUGGAAAUGGGUAUGGAACUUUAUCCAUAAAAAGAUUGUGUUUCCAUUUUAAUGACAAAAUUAGUUUUUUUUUCCCACCUGUGUAAAUGUGACAUAAAAGUUUGGUACCGGUAUUACUAUAUGAAAUUUUACAUACUGUAUUAGUAUGCCUUCCUUCUGUAUUCCAGUAAAGUCCACAAAUAUGGAAGGAGCACAACAGGUGAGAGCUGGGAUAUUGUUGUGGACGAUGAAACCUAUUACGAGUAAGAAAUUGCUUCUCUUAGUUGCUAACUGAGCUUAUAUACAUAAUUAUGGGGGUUGGAUAAAAAUAUAAGAUUCUAUUUCUUUUGGAUUGUAGUAAGAUUAAUUUAACUGACACAGUCUGUAUUUAAUGAAGGGCUCAACCUCAUUACGGAUGGGCUGAUGUUGUGGGUGAUUCAACCCAGUUGCUAUCAAUUAAACCUACGGAGAGACCACCCGGAGUCUACCCAAAUCUUGAUUUU